AAAACGACGAAUAAUUCUACUCCAUGUUUUUUUUUUGGUUUCUUUCUGGAUACAGAAAAUCUUGGGCACCGGAUUGAACAAAACAAGAAGGAAUAGCAACUGGGAGAAACGGCCUUUAACUCAGUUUCAGCUAGAAUAUGCUGCUCUUGAUGCUGCUGUUCUUAUUCACAUAUUUCGUCAUGUUCGAGACUAUACACAACCUGCUGGUGACCGUGGUGGGCUUUCCAAAUUGGAGUGGAAGUCUCACAUUGUUUCCCAUAUUGAUAAUUCAAAAAUUUCAAAAAAGGAAGCUAAAAGGCGAAAGGCCAAAGCUGAUAAAGCUCCACAAAGCAUCAAAUCUAAGGAGCUUUUUGAACAAACUUAAACUUAAAGCUAGGAAAUAUAGUUAUGAUACACCUCAAUUUUACUCUCUAAGUAUUUUUCUGAGAAACAUGUUAACAGCUUAAACUGUUGCUGGUUUGUGUGUAUAUAGAAUAGCAUAGCAUUAGUAGAAAAAUACUACUUGGUAAAGCUUCAGUUGCUAAUCUUUAGUACUUAUUACUAGCUUCUGUGCGUAUACUUUCAAGUUUUCGAGUUUGUUAGAUGGCUUAUUUAGAGGA